GAGCUUUCAAAUUUCAAUCUCCUACUUUCACGCCAUACGUUUCCCCCGAAAUCUUUAUCACAACUACGUACCAUCUAGGUUAUAAAAGCCAAAAUUCACUUACCAAUUUUGUUCAAAAAAUCGAAUUACCCCUUCAUUUUUUUACUUUCUCGUUUUCCUAUUUGUCUUGCAAGAACAAUCAAACAAUGGUGAGAACGGUAAAGCGGGAAUUGAUGGACAAUCGAGCAGUUGAAUACCUCACCUUUAAGAAUCGGAUUAGCGAAUGGGUGCUUCUGAGAAGUGGAUAAAAUCACUCAUUGGUCUGAAGAAGUCGGGAUCAAAUGACCGUGCAAGCUAAUAAUCUUUGUAUUAUCUUUAUAUGAUUUUUUUUGGUGUUUUAUGCAAUGAUUUUUAUAUUGAACUGUGUUGAGGGCUUGAGCCUAAUAAUCUUUGUAUUAUCUUUAUAUGAUUUAUAUGAUUUUUUUGGUGUUUUAUGCAAUGAUUUUUAUAUUGAACUGUGUUGAGCUUAAUUCAUAUGUAAUGGUGUGUUUGGUUGGGCUUA